UUACGGCCAUAUCACGUUGAAACACCAGUUCUCGUUCGAUCGCCGAAAUUAAACAACGUUGAGCUUGGUCAGUACCUAAAUGGGUGACCGCUUGGAAAUACCAAAUCUUG